rnacentral:rRNA from 1 species
UGGGGAAUAUUGGACAAUGGGCGCAAGCCUGAUCCAGCCAUGCCGCGUGAGUGAAGAAGGCCCUCGGGUUGUAAAGCUCUUUUGUUGGGAAAGAAAAGCAGCCGGUUAAUACCCGGUUGUCAUGACGGUACCCAAAGAAUAAGCACCGGCUAACUUCGUGCCAGCAGCCGCGGUAAUACGAAGGGUGCAAGCGUUACUCGGAAUUACUGGGCGUAAAGCGUGCGUAGGUGGUUUGUUAAGUCAGAUGUGAAAGCCCUGGGCUCAACCUGGGAACUGCAUUUGAUACUGGCAGGCUAGAGUGCGGUAGAGGGGUGCGGAAUUCCUGGUGUAGCAGUGAAAUGCGUAGAGAUCAGGAGGAACAUCCGUGGCGAAGGCGGCACCCUGGGCCAGCACUGACACUGAGGCACGAAAGCGUGGGGAGCAAACA